GGCCAGGUAGCUCAGUUGGUUGGAGCACUGUCCUGAUACACCAAGGUUCUGGGUUCAAUUCCUAGUCAGGGCA
rfam:Myotis davidii contig153635, whole genome shotgun sequence.